UACGUAGGGGGCAAGCGUUAUCCGGAUUUACUGGGUGUAAAGGGAGCGUAGACGGUGAUGCAAGCCAGAUGUGAAAGCCCGGGGCCCAACCCCGGGACUGCCCUUGGAACUGCAUGGCUGGAGUGCGGGAGAGGUAAGUGGAAUUCCUAGUGUAGCGGUGAAAUGCGUAGAUAUUAGGAGGAACACCAGUGGCGAAGGCGGCUUACUGGACGGUAACUGACGCUGAGGCUCGAAAGCGUGGGGAGCAAACAGG
rnacentral:rRNA from 1 species